AACGAACGCUGGCGGCGUGCUUAACACAUGCAAGUCGAACGGUGAAGCAGAGCUUGCUCCGUGGAUCAGUGGCGAACGGGUGAGUAACACGUGAGCAACCUGCCCCUGACUCUGGGAUAAGCGCUGGAAACGGCGUCUAAUACCGGAUAUGAGCUGCGAUCGCAUGGUCAGCAGUUGGAAAGAUUUUUCGGUCUGGGAUGGGCUCACGGCCUAUCAGCUUGUUGGUGAGGUAAUGGCUCACCAAGGCGUCGACGGGUAGCCGGCCUGAGAGGGUGACCGGCCACACUGGGACUGAGACACGGCCCAGACUCCUACGGGAGGCAGCAGUGGGGAAUAUUGCACAAUGGGCGAAAGCCUGAUGCAGCAACGCCGCGUGAGGGAUGACGGCCUUCGGGUUGUAAACCUCUUUUAGCAGGGAAGAAGCGAAAGUGACGGUACCUGCAGAAAAAGCGUCGGCUAACUACGUGCCAGCAGCCGCCGUAAUAC
rnacentral:rRNA from 1 species